GACGAACGCUGGCGGCACGCCUAACACAUGCAAGUUGAACGGACUUAAAAGAGCUUGCUUUUUUAAGUUAGUGGCGGACGGGUGAGUAACACGUGAGCAACCUGCCUCUGAGAGGGGGAUAGCUUCUGGAAACGGAUGGUAAUACCCCAUAAAAUAUAAAUAUCGCAUGAUAGAUAUAUCAAAGAAAUUCGCUCAGAGAUGGGCUCGCGUCUGAUUAGAUAGUUGGUGAGGUAACGGCUCACCAAGUCGACGAUCAGUAGCCGGACUGAGAGGUUGAACGGCCACAUUGGGACUGAGACACGGCCCAGACUCCUACGGGAGGCAGCAGUGGGGAAUAUUGCACAAUGGAGGGAACUCUGAUGCAGCGAUGCCGCGUGGAGGAAGAAGGUUUUCGGAUUGUAAACUCCUUUUAUCAGGGACGAUAAUGACGGUACCUGAAGAAAAAGCUCCGGCUAACUACGUG
rnacentral:rRNA from 1 species